rnacentral:tRNA from 1 species
GCGGGAAUAGCUCAGUGGUAGAGCACAACCUUGCCUGGGGUCGCGAGUUCGAACCUCGUUUCCCGCUCCA